UACGUAGGCAGCAAGCGUUGUUCGGAAUUACUGGGCGUAAAGAGUGUGUAGGCGGUGUUCUAAGUUUGUCGUGAAAUCUCCCGGCUUAACUGGGAGGGUGCGGCGAAAACUGGAAUGCUAGAGGAUGGGAGAGGUAAGCGGAAUUCCUGGUGUAGCAGUGAAAUGCGUAGAGAUGUGGAGGAACACCAGUGGCGAAGGCGGCUUUCUGGUCUGUAACUGACGCUGAGGCGCGAAAGCGUGGGGAGCAAACAGG
rnacentral:rRNA from 1 species